GAUGAACGCUGGCGGCGUGCCUAAUACAUGCAAGUCGAGCGAACAGACGAGGAGCUUGCUCCUUUGACGUUAGCGGCGGACGGGUGAGUAACACGUGGGUAACCUACCUAUAAGACUGGGACAACUUCGGGAAACCGGAGCUAAUACCGGAUAAUAUUUCGAACCGCAUGGUUCGAUAGUGAAAGAUGGCUUUGCUAUCACUUAUAGAUGGACCUGCGCCGUAUUAGCUAGUUGGUAAGGUAACGGCUUACCAAGGCAACGAUACGUAGCCGACCUGAGAGGGUGAUCGGCCACACUGGAACUGAGACACGGUCCAGACUCCUACGGGAGGCAGCAGUAGGGAAUCUUCCGCAAAGGGCGAAAGCCUGACGGAGCAACGCCGCGUGAGUGAUGAAGGUCUUCGGAUCGUAAAACUCUGUUAUUAGGGAAGAACAAACGUGUAAGUAACUGUGCACGUCUUGACGGUACCUAAUCAGAAAGCCACGGCUAACUACGUG
rnacentral:rRNA from 1 species